rnacentral:misc_RNA from 1 species
GUGAAUCAUCGAAUUUUUGAACGCAAAUUGCACUCUCCUCGGAGAGGAUGCCUGUUUGAGUUUCAGCCUAUAAAAAAUCGACAUCGUUGCUGUUUCGCGGUUGCGGUCGUCGGAAAUUGGGUCAUCGUAAAUCCUUUUUGUUUUUAAUCGACUUAAAAUUUUCUUUUUGGUUCCAUGAACGUUUCUAAUAUUUAUUUCUUUACACGUUUAAGGUAUCGAUUUUUAUUAUACUUGACCAUCAUAUCGGAUCGCGUCCAUAAUCUUUCAUUAACU